rnacentral:rRNA from 1 species
UACGUAGGUGGCAAGCGUUGUCCGGAAUUAUUGGGCGUAAAGCGCGCGCAGGCGGCCUUUUAAGUCUGAUGUGAAAGCCCACGGCUCAACCGUGGAAGGUCAUUGGAAACUGAAAGGCUUGAGUACAGAAGAGGAAAGCGGAAUUCCACGUGUAGCGGUGAAAUGCGUAGAGAUGUGGAGGAACACCAGUGGCGAAGGCGAGUCUCUGGACAGUUACUGACACUGAGGCACGAAGGCCAGGGGAGCAAACGGG